AAAAUGCGAAACCGUAGACGCGAAACAGUCGACGUCAGUGCAUUGUUAAAAGUAGUCGUCAAAGUGUCGAACUAGAACUAAUAAAAAAUUGAAACCUUCUAGGUUAUCACUUCUCAGCUUACAGUAAUGGCACACUGCCAAUGUGUGUAGUUGCAUGAGAGUUCAUGGUCCUGUUAAAGCACAAACCAAGCCCCACGAGUACUUUUUGGAGGCCAGCUUUCACACAUUCUGUGAAACCACUCUUUACAUCCCGUACACUCUAUGGUGUGCCAAGCCUGUGUUCUUGUGGAAUUCAGUGGGUGAUAAUCUAUUCUUCGACAACUGCAGGAAUGCUGACAUAACUUUACUUAACAGGCAUUUUUUCAAAUGUUGCCUCAUGACGCCCCUGUUAUAGAUGGACUGUGAUGGAUCUUCGCCCAAUGCUAGAGUUAUGGCAUUUGCAAUCGCAUGAAGGCCACAAUCAUUCGGCAAUUGCUGCUGACAUCCAACACUUUGAUCCUCCCAAACUAUCAUAAAUGGAAACCGAAUCUUCUCCUUUCGAUUUGGAUGCCACAACCCAAUGCCCCUUGCCAUCGUGGAUUAUUUGUAUCCAUUUUUCACUAGGAGCAGCGGGAAAUUCCAGAUCCCAGCCGAGAGUCGUAUCAUAUAAUCCACCAAUAUUUGGAAACUGAUGUUUGAUCAGAUUUAUGGCUGCAUUGAUAUGGCUUGAUUCAAGCCAAUACCCCGGAACGGUAAUAUCUUCGAUUUCGGCUUUUGACAAAUUCACCUGUUGGUUUGAUCUCUGCGACCCACGGGUCUGAUAGUGAAAGACCGGAGUCUGAAAAUGUAAAUAGAUAAUUAGAUGUUGAACAUCAUUCGGUGAAUUAGCCUGCGACUUGUUGGCCGAAGAAUUGGCUGGCGAGCUGGUGAUGGAAGAAUUGGUUGGCGACAAGAUGGCCGAUUUGGCUGGUAAUUUUGUGGUCGGCGAAUUUGCAGAAGAAUUGGAACACGAGCUGGCCGGUGAUUUAGAUGGCGACAAGCUACACGAUUUGGCUGGUAAUUUUGUGGUUGGCGAAUUGGAAGCCAAGCUGGCCGGUGGUUGCGACAAACUAGCCGAUUUGGCUGGUAAUUUUGUGGUCGGCGAAUUUGCAGAAGAAUUGGAACACGAGCUGGCCGGUGAUUUGGUUGGCGACGAACUAGCCGAUGUGGUCGGCGAAUUGGAAGCCGAACUGGCCGAUGAAUUUGGUGGCGGCAAUGUUGGCGAUUUGGCGGGGGACGAAUUUGCUGACGACAAUCUGCCCGGUGAUUUGGUGACUGAAGACAAUAUGGCCAAUGAUUUGGUGGCUGAAGUCAGACUUGCUGUUGAAUUUGCUUGCGACUUGGUGGCCGGUGAAUUGGCUGUCGUCUUAAUGGAUGAAGAAAAGCAAUCCGGCGCUGAGGUAGCUUUGGAAUUUCCUGGCGGUAAGGUGACAAGUUUUGGUAGUGAUGUGAUUGGCCUGGCUGGUGAUUUGGGAGUCCACUUAACAGCUGAAAACCAACCCCUAUGAUUAGCAUUGAAAUUGAUUCUUUGUUUGAGGGAAUUGACUUAAACCCUAGCAUUACGAGGACUCGAUUCAAAGAGUUAAAUGGCGAUCUUUUCCGCUCUACCAUGGAACCUGUCGAGAAAGCCAUCCGUGUUCUGUGACACCAAUAUGGACAGAGCACAAAGCCCAGAUUCAAGAUAUCGUUCUCGUUGGUGGAUCAAUCCGUAUUCCGGAGGUGGAAAAGCUCUUGCAACAUUCCUUCAACGGAAAAGAGGUUAAGAAAUACAUCAAUCACGAUGAGGCCGUUGCCUACGGUGCGCUGUUCAAACUGCAAUUCUUCAGGGAGUCAAAUCUGAGGCUGUCCAAGAUCUUCAAAAAAUGAAUUGAAGUGAAAACUUACAGCGAAUUUUGCCAUGUUGAACAACUUGAUUUAUUGCAAGAGACAGAGAGAGAACUUGUGAAGUUGUGAUGUUAUUGUUGAUUUGCUGGUACAAACAACUGAUGACAGUGGACUCGAAGACGGUCGGUAUUUAUAGCAAGAAGGUAAAACCUGCCGGCCAUAUGGCCAGGGUGAGAAAGCGUAAAGCGGCAUACAUGCAUUCAUUGCCUUACUCAUUAUCAAAAUCAUUAACGGCGAAUUAUCUUGUGUAGAAUUGAUGCGCAAAUAGCUAUACCGACCAGUUUAAUAUCAGAAACUAUAUGUCUGUAAUUAUUGACUUUGUACUAAAAUAUGUAUGAAACAAACAGAACUUGUUACCAAGCCCAUCUUUGUUAUUCGGUAUUUAUGUAUAUUUGUUAUUCAAUUACUCUUUGAAUCUGUUCAUACUACAAUAAACGGUGGAAUUCAA
rnacentral:lncRNA from 1 species